GACGAACGCUGGCGGCGUGCCUAAUACAUGCAAGUCGAGCGAAUGGAGGAGAGCUUGCUCUCCGAAGUUAGCGGCGGACGGGUGAGUAACACGUGGGCAACCUGCCUAUAAGACUGGGAUAACUUCGGGAAACCGGAGCUAAUACCGGAUAGUUCUUUUCCUCUCAUGAGGAAAAGGGGAAAGAUGGUUUCGGCUAUCACUUAUAGAUGGGCCCGCGGCGCAUUAGCUAGUUGGUAAGGUAACGGCUUACCAAGGCAACGAUGCGUAGCCGACCUGAGAGGGUGAUCGGCCACACUGGGACUGAGACACGGCCCAGACUCCUACGGGAGGCAGCAGUAGGGAAUCUUCCGCAAUGGACGAAAGUCUGACGGAGCAACGCCGCGUGAACGAAGAAGGCCUUCGGGUCGUAAAGUUCUGUUGUUAGGGAAGAACAAGUACUAGAGUAACUGCUAGUACCUUGACGGUACCUAACCAGAAAGCCACGGCUAACUACGUGCCAGCCGCCGCAGUAAAAC
rnacentral:rRNA from 1 species